UCACUCAUUAACAGUUCAAACAGUAUUACUUGAAGCAAUACAAACAUCUUGAACAAGGGAACCAAGUACAAAGCUAAAUACCUGAUGAACACGGAAAGCAAAACGGACCCCUUGCAGAAGUAUAAACUCUCGGUUGGGUUCUUUUUCCGGUCCAGUCAAUGCAUCAAGUUCUGAUGCUACGCGUUUCAUAUAUUUCCUUGCCAAUUGAACAGAUGAAAGUUUGAUCUGCAUUAUGCAGAAGAAAAACAUAGAUUUAUGAUCACAUUUUAUAGCAGG